rnacentral:rRNA from 1 species
UACAGAGGUCUCAAGCGUUGUUCGGAUUCAUUGGGCGUAAAGGGUGUGUAGGUGGCGGCCGUAAGUCAGGGGUGAAAUCCUGGAGCUCAACUCCAGAACUGCCUUUGAUACUGGCAACCUUGAGUCCGGGAGAGGUGAGUGGAACUGCGAGUGUAGAGGUGAAAUUCGUAGAUAUUCGCAAGAACACCAGUGGCGAAGGCGGCUCACUGGCCCGGUACUGACGCUGAGGUGCGAAAGCGUGGGGAGCAAACAGGG